AGUCGACGAUGAAGCCUAGCUUGCUGGGUGGAUUAGUGGCGAACGGGUGAGUAACACGUGAGCAACCUGCCCCUGACUCUGGGAUAAGCGCUGGAAACGGCGUCUAAUACUGGAUAUGUCCCAUCACCGCAUGGUGUGUGGGUGGAAAGAUUUUUCGGUUGGGGAUGGGCUCGCGGCCUAUCAGCUUGUUGGUGAGGUAAUGGCUCACCAAGGCGUCGACGGGUAGCCGGCCUGAGAGGGUGACCGGCCACACUGGGACUGAGACACGGCCCAGACUCCUACGGGAGGCAGCAGUGGGGAAUAUUGCACAAUGGGCGGAAGCCUGAUGCAGCAACGCCGCGUGAGGGAUGACGGCCUUCGGGUUGUAAACCUCUUUUAGCAGGGAAGAAGCGAGAGUGACGGUACCUGCAGAAAAAGCACCGGCUAACUACGUGCCAGCAGCCGCGGUAAUACGUAGGGUGCAAGCGUUAUCCGGAAUUAUUGGGCGUAAAGAGCUCGUAGGCGGUCUGUCGCGUCUGCUGUGAAAUUCCGAGGCUCAACCUCGGGCUUGCAGUGGGUACGGGCAGACUAGAGUGCGGUAGGGGAGAUUGGAAUUCCUGGUGUAGCGGUGGAAUGCGCAGAUAUCAGGAGGAACACCGAUGGCGAAGGCAGAUCUCUGGGCCGUAACUGACGCUGAGGAGCGAAAGGGUGGGGAGCAAACAGGCUUAGAUACCCUGGUAGUCCACCCCGUAAACGUUGGGAACUAGUUGUGGGGUCCUUUCCACGGAUUCCGUGACGCAGCUAACGCAUUAAGUUCCCCGCCUGGGGAGUACGGCCGCAAGGCUAAAACUCAAAGGAAUUGACGGGGACCCGCACAAGCGGCGGAGCAUGCGGAUUAAUUCGAUGCAACGCGAAGAACCUUACCAAGGCUUGACAUACACGAGAACGGGCCAGAAAUGGUCAACUCUUUGGACACUCGUGAACAGGUGGUGCAUGGUUGUCGUCAGCUCGUGUCGUGAGAUGUUGGGUUAAGUCCCGCAACGAGCGCAACCCUCGUUCUAUGUUGCCAGCACGUAAUGGUGGGAACUCAUGGGAUACUGCCGGGGUCAACUCGGAGGAAGGUGGGGAUGACGUCAAAUCAUCAUGCCCCUUAUGUCUUGGGCUUCACGCAUGCUACAAUGGCCGGUACAAUGGGCUGCAAUACCGUGAGGUGGAGCGAAUCCCAAAAAGCCGGUCCCAGUUCGGAUUGAGGUCUGCAACUCGACCUCAUGAAAUCGGAGUCGCUAGUAAUCGCAGAUCAGCAACGCUGCGGUGAAUACGUUCCCGGGUC
rnacentral:rRNA from 1 species